rnacentral:rRNA from 1 species
UACGGAGGGGGCAAGCGUUAUUCGGAAUCAUUGGGCGUAAAGGGCGCGUAGGCGGUACUUCAAGUCAGGCGUGAAAGCCCCGGGCUCAACCUGGGAACAGCGCUUGAGACUGGCACGCUCGAGUUCGGGAGAGGAUGGUGGAAUUCCCAGUGUAGAGGUGAAAUUCGUAGAUAUUGGGAAGAACACCGAUGGCGAAGGCAGCCAUCUGGACCGACACUGACGCUGAGGCGCGAAAGCGUGGGGAGCAAACAGG